rfam:Schistosoma mattheei strain Denwood, Zambia genome assembly, scaffold: SMTD_scaffold0018139
GCACUGCUGAAGAGUCCCACGAUAGGACGAAACGGCCGUCCGUGC